GAGAGCCACAGCGACGGGCCCGCGCCUCCGCCCCGCCCCAGCAGAGUGAGAAAAGCCCCAAAAGUUAACGACAACAACAAAACAAACCACAGAAGAAGAAACGUAAACAACAGCAGGAGUAACCAACAUGACGGCGGUGAGAGGAGCCGGGGUUUCAGAGCGGGGCUGCCUGGAACUUCAGGCCGCUGUGUGAGCCUCUGCCCGCGGCAUGAAGCUCUCCGGGCUGCCGGCAUCAUGGCCGCUGUGACAGCCAACGCCCGCGGAGUCGUGACGGAUCCUGCCGGAGUGUCCCCGCGGGACAGCCGGCCUCCGGCGCCGGGAGCCGGCGGGAGGUCCGCGGAGUCAUGGAAGGGACACAUCAUCCGAGAGCUGAAGCACCGAGACCUGAGCCAGCACGCCAUGUUCCAGGAUCUGAUCCGCUUCUACACUCAGCUGCUGGAGAAAACCAGUCUGACCAAAGGACUGCUGAGCAGCUCCGCCAGGCGUCCCCCUGCAGGCAGCGCCCCGCUCUCGUCCCUGCUGCAGCAGAGCAUCCAGCUGAAGAAGACGACGGGAGAGUUGGCCUAUCAGGUGGUGGAGCUGCAGCAGCAGAUUAAAAUCAAAGACAGCGUUCUGGAGGAGCAGCAUGCCAGGCUGCUGCAGGAGCGCCGUUGCCUGUCGCGAGUGUCUGAUGCUCAUCAGGAGCUGCGGGCACAGGUGGAGCAGGUUCAAGGGCAGAACACGGCGCUGAAGGUGGAGUACGACGCCCUCCUGGAGCGGCAGAGAGCAGCAGAGGCGAAACUACGGCAGGAGACGGUCAGAGGGGAAGAACUGCUGGCCAAGGUGAUGAAGCGGAAAAACCAGGCCGCAGCUCGCAUGAACAGCCACAACGAACGCCGCUCCAGAGCUCGAGAGGCAACCCUGCAGGCCGCAGCCAGGUCGAAGGUCAACUUAGACAGGUCAGCUGUCCAUCCCCUGAGCUCUACAUCGCCCUCUUCAGGUUUCUCUAACUCAUCAAGUGCUCCGAGCUCCAGAUCGACGUCUCCAAAGAAUGAGAAACGUGACGCAUCCAUGGAACGAAAACCUAUGCGACUCGUGAGGUCGGCGUCGGUGACGUCUCCGAGGAUCCUGACCUCCAUUAAAGAGCUGUUCGACAGAAAGAGGCGGGGCCACUCGGUCUGCAGUCAGGAGGAAGAUCUCGUCUCUCCUGUAAGAAUCUGUGUGUCAGCCCGAGUCCCGGCCAGAGCUCUGCAAGUCCUGGAUGCCCAUGAGCAAGACAUCAACGCCGUGCGGUUCAGCUCCAGCUCGGACCUUCUGGCCACGGGGGGGACGGACAAAGUGAUCAAACUGUGGGAGGUCAGAGCAGGUUUGCUGACUCACAGAGGGACCCUGGACGGCAGCACGGAGGGCAUCACCUGCAUCGAGUUCGACCCCAUGGGCUUCAGGAUCCUCGCCGCGUCCUACAGCAAGGCGGCCAUGCUGUGGCAGCUGGGCGACUCCGUUCCAAAGGUGACUCUUACAGGUCACAGCAGGAAGGUGACGGCGGCAAGGUUCAGCAGCAUCCUCCAUCAGGUGGUGACAGGAAGUGCCGAUGGCUCCAUCAGACUAUGGGACCUGCGGCGAGCUGCCUGUCUGCAGUCGCGUAACGUGGCGAAGUACUGCAGUGACCUGGUGUGCUCUGAGAACUGCAUCAUCAGCGGACACUACGACGGGCAGAUCAGAGUGUGGGACUCCAGGGCGGCGAGCUGCGUUCAGGUGCUUCCUGCUCAGGGAAAAGUCACCUCGUUGGACCUCAGCUCUGACCAUCGCCAGCUGCUCAGCUGUUGCCGUGAUGACUGUCUCCAGCUGUUCGACCUGAGGAGGUGGAGCAAUGAGCGCGUAACCUUCAGAGCCGACGGGUUCAAAUGUGGCAGCGACAGCACCAAAGCCGUCAUCAGUCCAGACUGCUGCUAUUUGGCGGCCGGCUCUGCAGAUGGUGCCGUUUACAUUUGGAACGUCUCGACGGGCAAGUUGGAGACCCGCCUACCCGACAAACACAGGUAACACCGAAGACCUGAGUCAGGUGAUAAGCACAGUCACUGCCAGUGCAGGGUCCUAAAGAUCAGAGGCUCCAGCUCAGCUCCCUGUGGGACUCCAAAUGCUCUCGUCCAUCAGCGCCGUGUCUUGGUCUCUGUCUGGCGAAUACUUCGUCAGCGUGGACAAGAGCAAGCGAGCCGUCCUCUGGAGUGACAUGUGAGGCAAACCCACAACGAGGUCACGUUGUCGUGGAGACGCGUCACACAUCCAGCCUUGAUUGGACAGAUGGCUGUUUGACAAAAGUCUUUUUUAAGCUGUUUGUUGGUUGGACCAAAGGGAAGUGACCUUACGUUGUUGUGAUCUAUGAUAACCCUGAAGAAUAUUAACGAGGGAGGAGAACACGGACCUUCUACCAGCUUUAAGCUUUUUCUGUGUAAAACCUGUGUGAACAAAGGGAAACGUUCCUGCAACGCUUGAACCAUUUUACAGUGGACGACGCCAAAAUGAAGCGAGGCCGAACGGCUCGUCGGUCACGUGUGCACAUGUCAGCCUGCGGCGUGCGCUGUGGUCACGGACUGAAACCAAGCUAACUUUUUUUUUUUUUUUUACCUGGAAUGAGUAGAACGUUUUUGUUUUUGUAAUUACAGACAGAUUACUAACUCACACGCUUCUAACGGUCCCGUUUUAGAUUGUAAAGUUUUUCCCGCCUUGUCUCAGCUUGUUUUGGGUGCUGAGAAAGUCUUAAAUUGACAUAUAUUAAUAAAAGAUCUGAAACUGUUUUAAACUGAUGUUUUCAGUCACCUCAGAUUCAUGUCCUCGCUUUUGCAUUCAGAGUGGGGCCGCAGCUCGACACUGAAGCUCCACCCACCUGCUGGCAGCCAAUCAGAAAAAAGUUGUCUUUGAAGGGGGAGGGGCUAAAACUGCAUUUCAGAGGACUGCACUGAGGCAAACUUCUCCGUUUUCCUUUAAAUUGUUAUUAAAAUUGUGCGUUUUGUGGAUCACUGUAGAAACUGUAGAAAACAAGCUGUUUCCACUAAGGUGUUUGUAAAGGGUGGUGCUAACAUUCAGGGAUUCAGGGAGCGUUCAGAUCUAUGAGCACCACCCUCAGACUGCCUUAACCUUUGAACCCCUGAGAAGAAGCUUUCAACGGUCACCGCUUCAUUCAGGCCCGCGAAUGUUUGCUCCUCUGUGGGAGCUCCUGAGUCCUGAAUUUAAACCAGCCGUUCUGGGAUCGGUGGGAGUGUUUCCAGUCUUUCUGCUCUCAGCCGUGGAUUCACUGAGUGAUUAUUUUGUACUGUAAGUGAUGCGAAGCUGCUCUGGAGGAUUUGGAAAUGAGCAGAACGUGUCCACCUGUGUUGUCCUGCGUUUGUGUAUCUGCAGCGAGAGGCUGCCGCUCAGGUAACAGUAGCACUCAGGUGUGUCUUUGUCUCAGAUGUCGUUCUCCUAACGUUCUGUCAAUGUUUUUAAUAUGUUGGUAACGUUUCUGCUCUCAGCUCUAAUAAACGCUGGUCUCUAACCAUC